UUUAAUGGUGCAAUCACCCUGCAGCCCAAGACUGGUUACUCACUGAAGCUAAGCAGGGCUGAGCCUGGUCAGUACCUGGAUGGGAGACCACAUGGGAAAACUAGGUUGCUGUUGGAA
rnacentral:rRNA from 1 species